GAUGAACGCUGGCGGCGUGCUUAACACAUGCAAGUCGAACGGUGAAGGCGGAGCUUGCUCUGCUGGAUCAGUGGCGAACGGGUGAGUAACACGUGAGCAAUCUGCCCCUGACUCUGGGAUAAGCGCUGGAAACGGCGUCUAAUACUGGAUACGAGCUGCGAAGGCAUCUUCAGCAGCUGGAAAGAACUUCGGUCAGGGAUGAGCUCGCGGCCUAUCAGCUUGUUGGUGAGGUAACGGCUCACCAAGGCGUCGACGGGUAGCCGGCCUGAGAGGGUGACCGGCCACACUGGGACUGAGACACGGCCCAGACUCCUACGGGAGGCAGCAGUGGGGAAUAUUGCACAAUGGGCGGAAGCCUGAUGCAGCAACGCCGCGUGAGGGACGACGGCCUUCGGGUUGUAAACCGCUUUUAGCAGGGAAGAAGCGAGAGUGACGGUACCUGCAGAAAAAGCGCCGGCUAACUACGUG
rnacentral:rRNA from 1 species